GCCUACAACAUAUCCUUAAUGCAUUGGAUCUCAUUAGAACUCCGUAGUUAAGCAUGCUCGAGCUAGAGUAGUACUGGGAUGGGUGAUUGCCUGGGAAGUCCUAGUAUUUUAUCCC
rnacentral:rRNA from 1 species